rnacentral:tRNA from 1 species
GCCCUCAUAGCUCAGCAGGCAGAGCGCAUCCAUGGUAAGGAUGAGGUCACCAGUUCGACUCUGGUUGAGGGCUCCA